CCUACGGGAGGCAGCAGUGGGGAAUAUUGCACAAUGGGGGAAACCCUGAUGCAGCGACGCCGCGUGAGUGAAGAAGUAAUUCGGUAUGUAAAGCUCUAUCAGCAGGGAAGAAAAUGACGGUACCUGACUAAGAAGCCCCGGCUAACUACGUGCCAGCAGCCGCGGUAAUACGUAGGGGGCAAGCGUUAUCCGGAUUUACUGGGUGUAAAGGGAGCGUAGACGGGUGGACAAGUCUGGAGUGAAAGGCCGGGGCUCAACCCCGGGACUGCUUUGGAAACUGUGUAGCUAGAGUGCAGGAGAGGUAAGUGGAAUUCCUAGUGUAGCGGUGAAAUGCGUAGAUAUUAGGAGGAACACCAGUGGCGAAGGCGGCUUACUGGACUGUAACUGACGUUGAGGCUCGAAAGCGUGGGGAGCAAACAGGAUUAGAUACCCCGGUAGUC
rnacentral:rRNA from 1 species